UACAGAGGUCUCAAGCGUUGUUCGGAUUCAUUGGGCGUAAAGGGUGCGUAGGCGGCGCGGUAAGUCGGGUGUGAAAUCUCGGAGCUUAACUCCGAAACUGCAUUCGAUACUGCCGUGCUUGAGGACUGGAGAGGAGACUGGAAUUUACGGUGUAGCGGUGAAAUGCGCAGAUAUCAGGAGGAACACCGGUGGCGAAGGCGGUUCUCUGGGCAUGUCCUGACGCUGAGGAGCGAAAGUGUGGGGAGCAAACAGG
rnacentral:rRNA from 1 species